AUGGACCAGCCAGCAGAGCGGGAGGCUCGAUCCUGGAGAGCAGGAGACAGCGGCUGGACACAAGUGGAAUGUAUGACCGUGAUGGUGAAAGAUGAAGAUGACUCAGUGAACUGUACCCUGAAGGGGAAUGGCACCUUUGUGGUCCAGCUACGGCAAAAGACCUGGAGCAGCUACUGGAGUGACUGGAGCAGUAACAUCUCUGUUCCUGAGGGUAAGGAAGAGGAGGGGAGGCUGGUGAGAUCCUACCAGCUCCCAAAAACAUUGAUCGCUCAGUCAGGCUUGUCCC
rnacentral:lncRNA from 1 species